AGAUUGAACGCUGGCGGCAGGCCUAACACAUGCAAGUCGAGCGGAUGACAGGAGCUUGCUCCUGAAUUCAGCGGCGGACGGGUGAGUAAUGCCUAGGAAUCUGCCUGGUAGUGGGGGACAACGUUUCGAAAGGAACGCUAAUACCGCAUACGUCCUACGGGAGAAAGCAGGGGACCUUCGGGCCUUGCGCUAUCAGAUGAGCCUAGGUCGGAUUAGCUAGUUGGUGAGGUAAUGGCUCACCAAGGCGACGAUCCGUAACUGGUCUGAGAGGAUGAUCAGUCACACUGGAACUGAGACACGGUCCAGACUCCUACGGGAGGCAGCAGUGGGGAAUAUUGGACAAUGGGCGAAAGCCUGAUCCAGCCAUGCCGCGUGUGUGAAGAAGGUCUUCGGAUUGUAAAGCACUUUAAGUUGGGAGGAAGGGCAUUAACCUAAUACGUUAGUGUUUUGACGUUACCGACAGAAUAAGCACCGGCUAACUCUGUGCCAGCAGCCGCGGUAAUACAGAGGGUGCAAGCGUUAAUCGGAAUUACUGGGCGUAAAGCGCGCGUAGGUGGUUUGUUAAGUUGGAUGUGAAAGCCC
rnacentral:rRNA from 1 species